ACCGGCGCACGGGUGAGUAACGCGUAUGCAACUUGCCUAUCAGAGGGGGAUAACCCGGCGAAAGUCGGACUAAUACCGCAUGAAGCAGGGAUCCCGCAUGGGAAUAUUUGCUAAAGAUUCAUCGCUGAUAGAUAGGCAUGCGUUCCAUUAGGCAGUUGGCGGGGUAACGGCCCACCAAACCGACGAUGGAUAGGGGUUCUGAGAGGAAGGUCCCCCACAUUGGUACUGAGACACGGACCAAACUCCUACGGGAGGCAGCAGUGAGGAAUAUUGGUCAAUGGCCGAGAGGCUGAACCAGCCAAGUCGCGUGAGGGAUGAAGGUUCUAUGGAUCGUAAACCUCUUUUAUAAGGGAAUAAAGUGCGGGACGUGUCCCGUUUUGUAUGUACCUUAUGAAUAAGGAUCGGCUAACUCCGUGCCAGCAGCCGCGGUAAUACGGAGGAUCCGAGCGUUAUCCGGAUUUAUUGGGUUUAAAGGGUGCGUAGGCGGCCUUUUAAGUCAGCGGUGAAAGUCUGUGGCUCAACCAUAGAAUUGCCGUUGAAACUGGGGGGCUUGAGUAUGUUUGAGGCAGGCGGAAUGCGUGGUGUAGCGGUGAAAUGCAUAGAUAUCACGCAGAACCCCGAUUGCGAAGG
rnacentral:rRNA from 1 species